CAGCUCAGUUGUUUAGAGCGUGCUGCUGACAAUGCCAAGGUUGCAGGUUCGAUCCCUGUAAGGGAGG